GGGCCCGUAGCUUAGUCUGGUCAGAGCGACAGGCUCAUAACCUGUUGGUCGACGGUUCAAAUCCGUCCGGGCCCA
rnacentral:tRNA from 1 species